rnacentral:rRNA from 2 species
CCGGUAAGGUGAUAUGAACCGUUAUAACCGGCGAUACCCGAAUGGGGAAACCCAGUGUGACUCGUCACACUAUCAUUAACUGAAUCCAUAGGUUAAUGAGGCGAACCGGGGGAACUGAAACAUCUAAGUACCCCGAGGAAAAGAAAUCAACCGAGAUUCCCCCAGUAGCGGCGAGCGAACGGGGAGGAGCCCAGAGCCUGAAUCAGCAUGUGUGUUAGUGGAAGCGUCUGGAAAGGCGCGCGAUACAGGGUGACAGCCCCGUACACAAAAGCGCAUGUGCUGUGAGCUCGAUGAGUAGGGCGGGACACGUGGUAUCCUGUCUGAAUAUGGGGGGACCAUCCUCCAAGGCUAAAUACUCCUGACUGACCGAUAGUGAACCAGUACCGUGAGGGAAAGGCGAAAAGAACCCCGGCGAGGGGAGUGAAAAAGAACCUGAAACCGUGUACGUACAAGCAGUGGGAGCACCCUUUUGGGUGUGACUGCGUACCUUUUGUAUAAUGGGUCAGCGACUUAU